rnacentral:rRNA from 1 species
GCAGUAUUCUAACUGUGCUAAGGUAGCAUAANNNUUAGUCUUUUAAUUGGAGACUGGUAUGAAUGGCUAAACGAGAAAUUAACUUUUUUUGUUAUAAAAAUCAAAUUUAAUUUUUUAGUGAAAAAGCUAAAAUUUUUCAGAAAGACGAGAAGACCCUAUAGAGUUUUAUAUAAAUUUUAUAUUAAUUUUUAAUAGAUUUUUAAAAAAUAAGUAUAAAAAAAUAUUUUGUUGGGGCGACAUUUAGAUAAAAAAAACUCUUUUUUUAAAAAAUUUUUAUAAAAAUAUUUUUUGAUCCUUUAAAAAAGAUCAAAAGAAAAAAUUACCUUAGGGAUAACAGCGUAAUCUUUUUUUAGAGUUCUAAUCGACAAAAAGGUUUGCGACCUCGAUGUUGGACUAAAAUUUAGGCAGGGUGCAGCAGUUCUGCUUUUAGGUCUGUUCGACCUAUA